rnacentral:lncRNA from 1 species
GAGAUUCUGAAUCUCAAAACCAAUGAAAGUUUCAAAAGUUGAAAAAUUGACUUUCAUCCUUGAAUCCAGUGUACAAGUAAGCUGGUAACUCUCAGACCAAGAUUCAGCACCCCUGAGACUUGAGAAACCGUGAGUCCACUAAGGAGACACAGUCUAGAGGAUGGAUGGAAGGUCUCAUACACAGAUCAAGUCCACAGUUGAGAUUGUUAUUUGCCUCUUCUCUUCUGCCUGGGCACUGCCAAAGAAAAAAGGAGAUUGUAGCAAUUCACUGGACCCAGAACCUAGUUGAGGGAGCAUUGUGACAUGCCACUGGGCUCAGCACCCAGGUGAUGUUCCUCUCCUGCCUGGUCCCUUCCAUCAGGGAAUAUUGUACAAAUCUCUGGCCAAGCACCCAGUUGAUGUGACUCUCCUGCUCACUACCUACUCACAGGUUACAUGUCCCAUGUCGCAGAAAAUGUUGUAAUGUAUUGCUGGACCCAGUCACCAGAUGAUGUGUCUCUCCUGCCAAGGCUGUGCCCACAGAGAGCAUUUUGACAUAUCACUGGGCUCAGCACCCAGGUGAAAUGACUCUGCUGCCUGUACUCUGCUUUAAGAGGGGAUUGUAAUAUAUCUGUGGCUGAGCACCUAGGUGAGAUGACUUCUGCGUGGUUUCUGACCUCAGGAAAGAUUGUGACAUAUCUUUGCCGAAAACCUACAUGAUGUGAAUCUGCUGCUCACUUCCUACCGACAGUCUCCAAAGUUAUCAGAAACCUGCAUUUAAAAAUACCUGGCAAAGUUCCAUAGCGGACCAUAAAUCACCUCUUGAAGAGGAUCGAAUCAAGACAACAAUUGUCUGAGGGAUUGAGACAAUUCUGGAAGCCCAGCACCUAGGUGAUGUGACUUUCAUCUUUUGUUUGGACCGUGUGCACAAAAGGAAGAGUGGCUUAUCACUGGACCUCACACACAGGAGGUAUUGUGACAUAUUCCUGGAGCAAGUACCCAGGUAAUGUAACUCUUUUCUACUGCUUGGACUCUACCCAAGGAGAGAUUCUAAUGUAUCACUGGACCCAGCACCUAGGUUACGUGACUUUCCUCUUGUGUCUGAGUCUUGCAUAAAUUGUGUAUUGUGACAAAUCUCUGGGUCUAAAACCUAGGUGAUGAGACUCUUAUGCAUGAGCCCUGCUUACAGGGAUAUUAUGACAUAUCUUUUUUUUUUAAUCACCUAUGUGAUGUGCCUUUGUUUGUGUGUGUGUGUGUGUGUGCGUCCUGGCCCUGCCAAAAGUGGGGAUUGUAACAUAUCAUUAAACUUAGUACCAAGGUGUUAUGACUCACCUUGUUUGCCUGGGCCCUGCAUAUAUUUGGUAAUGUGACGUAUGGCUGAGACAAACACCUAGGGCAUGAGAGCCUUGUGCCUGGGUCCUGCCCACAAGGAGCCUUUUGGCUUAUCUCUGCAUCCAUGAACUAGGAGAUGUGACUCUUCUUUUCUGUCUGGGUUCUGCAAAAACAAGUGAUUGUGACAUAUCAUCAAACCCAGCAACUAGACGAUGUGAUUUUUCUUCCCUGCUUGAGCCCUGGAUAUGCUGUGCAUUGUGAUAUAUGGCUGGGUCCAACAUCAAGGAGAGAUUGUGACAUAUCUCUGGAACCAGAACCUUGGUGAUGUGACUCUUCUCUCCUGCUGAAGCCAUGCCCACACAAGGGAAAGUGACUUAUCACUGGGCCCAGCACACAGCGCUAUUCACAGGGAAAAUAGUGACACAUCUGUGGGGUUCUCACCGAAAUGAUGUGACUCUCUUGCCUGGGCUCACCUCUCAAGGGAAUUUUGACAUAUUACUGGACCAAGCACCUAGGCCCUGCAUUUAUUGUGUAUUGUGACAUAUGGCUUGGUCCAACACCUAGGUGGUGUGACUCUCUACUUCUUCCUGUGCCAUGCCAAAGAAGAGGAUUGUGACAUAUCACUGGAUCCAGCACCUAGGAUGCAUAUGCCAGAUUUCCAGGCCCAUCACCUAGAUGAUGAGACUCUCCUCUUCUUUCUGGGACCAAUACACAGUGGGAAUUGUGAUGCAUCGUUUAGCUCAGCAGCUACAUGAUGUGACCCUCUUCUCAUGAGAUUCCUGCCCACUUGGGUAAUUGCAACAUAUAAUGUAGCCGAGUUUCUAGGAUACCUGACUCUUCUCUUAUUCCUGAGACUUACACAGAAUCGGCAACAUCUCUGAUCUUCUCACCUAGGUUAUGCAAAUGGAGGUGGAUUGUGACAUAUCAUAGGGCCAACACAACACACAGUCUACAGGUGGAAUUGGGACUCUCAUGCAUGGAUCCAGUUCAUCAUUGAUACUGUGACUCAGGUGGGAUUUUGACAUAUAACUGCACCCAGCACACAGGUGAGAUUGUGACUCUUGUAUGCUCAUCCUGCCAAAAGUUGAGUGUCACCCUCACACAUGGACAGAGACUUCUGUGGUCCAUUACAUUGAUGACAUUAUGCUGAUUGAAUCCAGUAAGCAAGAAAUAGCAAACACACCAGACUUAUUCAUGAGACGUUUGCAUGCCAGAGGAUGGAAAAUAAGUCUGACUAAAAUUUAGAGACCUUCUAGCUCAGUAAAACUUCCAGGGGUCCAGUGGUCCAAGGCCUGUCAAGAUAGUCCUUCUAAGGUAAAAGGUAAGUUGCUGCAUUUGGCCCAUCCUACAACCAAGAAAGAGGCACAAUGUCUAGUGGGCCUAUUUGGGUUUUGGAGGCAACCUAUUCCUCAUUUGGGUGUGUUACUCUGGCCCAUUUAUUGAGUGACCCAAAAAGCUGCCAGUUCUGAGUGUGGUCCAGAAAAGGAGAAGGCUCUGCAACAGGUCCAGGCUGCUGUGCAAGCUGCUCUGCCACUUGGGCCAUAUUACCCAGGAGAUCCAAUGGAUCUUGAGUUGUCAGUGUAAAAUAAGGAUGCUAUUUGUAGCCUUUGGCAGGCCCCCUUAGGUGAAUCACAGCAGAGGCCUCUAGAAUUUUGUUCUUUC